UACGUAGGGUGCAAGCGUUGUCCGGAAUUAUUGGGCGUAAAGAGCUCGUAGGCGGUUUGUCGCGUCGAAUGUGAAAACCCGGGGCUCAACCCCGGGCCUGCAUUCGAUACGGGCAGACUAGAGUUCGGUAGGGGAGUCUGGAAUUCCUGGUGUAGCGGUGAAAUGCGCAGAUAUCAGGAGGAACACCGGUGGCGAAGGCGGGACUCUGGGCCGGUACUGACGCUGAGGCGCGAAAGCGUGGGGAGCAAACAGG
rnacentral:rRNA from 1 species